rnacentral:tRNA from 1 species
CAGAGCGUAACAUAACACCUAAUGUGUCUCUUUUACACCGUGAAAAUGUCUGUGAAAAUCAGGCCUCUCUGA